ACAAAGGCGAUGACCGGGACAGUACGGGCGGUACAUAAGCGCAGAGAGGGAGCGGCUGGUGUAAGCUCCCAUGAGGCCGCCCCGAACGCUCGCCCGGGAGCAGCCCUGCUGAACCGCAGGUUAGGCAGGGACGGUUUCCCCUCCGUUAGCGGGGCAAUGAGUGCGCGGGCGCGCCCCGCGAAGUUAGGUGGUACCACGGAGUCAUGGCGGCUUCGUCCUAUGG
rnacentral:ncRNA from 1 species